rnacentral:rRNA from 1 species
CACGUAGGGUGCGAGCGUUUGUCCGGAAUUAUUGGGCGUAAAGAGCUCGUAGGCGGUGUGUCGCGUCGGCCGUGAAAACCUGCAGCUUAACUGUGGGCUUGCGGUCGAUACGGGCAUCACUGGAGUUCGGCAGGGGAGACUGGAAUUCCUGGUGUAGCGGUGAAAUGCGCAGAUAUCAGGAAGAACACCCGUGGCGAAGGCGGGUUCUCUGGGGACGGUACUGAC